UGGGGAAUUUUGGGCAAUGGCCGCAAGGCUGACCCAGCGACGCCGCGUGCGGGAGGACGCCCCUCGGGGUGUAAACCGCUGUCAGGGGGGACGAACCCCGGGGAUCUGAACAGGGUUCCCGGCUGACGGUACCUCCAGAGGAAGCGCCGGCUAACUCCGUGCCAGCAGCCGCGGUAAGACGGAGGGCGCGAGCGUUGUUCGGAAUUACUGGGCGUAAAGCGCGCGCAGGCGGAUCUUCAAGUCGGGAGUGAAAUACCGGGGCUCAACUCCGGGGCGGCUUCCGAGACUGAGGGUCUGGGGACCGGUAGAGGCCGGUGGAAUUCCCGGUGUAGCGGUGGAAUGCGUAGAGAUCGGGAAGAACACCCGUGGCGAAGGCGGCCGGCUGGGCCGGAUCCGACGCUGAGGCGCGAAAGCGUGGGGAGCAAACAGG
rnacentral:rRNA from 1 species